rnacentral:lncRNA from 1 species
AUACCACACUACAUCAAUACUGAACUUGUAAAUAUACCCGGAUUCGCAGGACUCUUCCUGGCUGGUGUUGUAAGUGCUGGAACAAGCACAAUAUCAUCAGCGAUAAAUUCACAAGCAGCGAUCCUCUACGUCGACGUCAUCGCUCACGGAUACAAAAGAGCAGACGAGCACGUCUUGAUGAUUACACGCAGCACCGCUCUUAUUCUAGGUUUGAUAAUGACAGCGUAUAGCUCACUGGUUAUACACAUGGGAUCCUUAACUAGGAUACUUUUAUUGGUGAACACAGCAUGCACGGCGCCGUUUGUCGGAUUGUGCAUCUUGGCUGUGUUGUUUCCUUUUGUUCAUUGCAAGGGCGCUGGUGUAGCGACACUCUUGAUGCUUGGCUACCAACUCUGGCACAUGGCUGAGACUAUCAAAACAGGAACAAGAGCUGCAAGACUUCCAGUAUCUCUUAACUACUGCCCU